UGUGUGCGUGUAUAAACUUUCUAUAAGGGGCAUCUAUGUUUUAACUUAAAACUAUAUUCUCUACUACCAAAGAUUAUCUGUGCCAUGCAGCAUAUCCUAUUCCAAUUCACAUUAACUUUAGGCCUUUCUUCAAUGUCCAACUCAAGCCCCACCUUGUAUGGGAAGCCUUUCUUCAGCAUUCCAGCUACUAGUGGUAUGAUGACUUUCAGAGUACUGUUUUUGUAUUCUUUUCAUUUGUGUCAGGCUGGGCCAGGGAGAAGAAUUGAAAGGGGUCAGACAGAGUGGCCUGAAGGAGCCUUUACUGUUCAAGAACCAGUAAUAGGUUGACAGACUGUGGCUUCAUUGCAUUGUAUCGGCUUCAGCACUCAAACAGAUUCAAUGAGGUCUUUGAAACUGAUGACUUCUGAGAGUGAUUCUUGUCGUAUUUGGGUUGUAGACUUCUUCAGAAGUUUUUGAUAACUGAACUUUCUCCUCCAGAAAGAAAACACAUGAAGCAUAAAAGUAGGCACAUAGUUUAAGGUUGUUUAAAAGAUCCCAAGAAACCCAUCAGUUGAAGUCUAUUUUCCAGGUGUUAGGGACCACAUGUUAAAAGCAACAACAAAAAUACCCAACCCUGCCAAAUAACUGGCAUUCAUUAAGAGCUUACUAUGUUCUGGGCCUGGUAUGCAAUAAGUCACAUGCAUUAUCGCUUUGUAUCCUUUAAGUUUUUUCACAAUCCCCUGUGGUGCCUUCUAUUGAUAUAUCUAUUUUAUAGAGAGGAGAAAGCAAGAUACAGAGAGGAAGUUCAGUAAUUUUGCUGAAGGCCAACUGCUGGGAGGUUACAGAGGCUGAUUUUGUUCUCGGGCAGUCUGAAUCACUCCCUUAGCCAUACUCUCACUGCCUUUCUUCACUGUAUUCCUUGUCUCUAAUCAUGAUGAGAGGUGACUAGCACAUUCAUUUCGUGAGGGAGUAUGCUACCAGAAACCUGGGUGAUUGACAAGAGCACCAGAUAUUAAUGUUACAAAUUCUUCCUUCAGUAAUGGAAACCAUCCAUUCUGAAAUACACAGAGAAUAAAGAUAGAUUUGAAAAAGCCCAUGUGGUAAAAUUUCUUACCUGGAAAGUCCCAUAGACAGAGGAGCCUGGUGGGUGACAGUCCAUGGGGUUGCCAAGAUCUGGACACAACUGAAGCAACUGAGCAAGCACGAGCAUGCAGGUGGUAGUGAACAGCCUCCCUACUACUUCUUACCCAGAGAUUUGCUUAAUGUCUGAUUUCUAAGAUGAAGUUAAAAAAAAAGAAUAAAAUUUGCCUUCAUUUUCAUUGUAACAUAUUCUAAUUUUAAGAGAUCACAGGUUAAUUAAAUUCAUUUAAAAACAACUUUUGGGUACUACCUUAAUUAACCUUCUAGGUUUCCUCGUUAUUCCACUCCUAUUCAGUGCUGUCAGUUUCCCAGGGUGAGGGUUAGAACUCCUCACCUUGUCAGGUAGAAAGGGAGGGUGGGAAAUAGCAUUUGUUCCUCCGUUUGAUUAGUAAAGCUCAUUAACUGUCAGAUAUAAAGCACAGACAGUCCAUCCAAAGAGAACAGCAAUACCAGUGACAUUUAUUUCAUGGCUAGUGUUCAGAGGCUCCUUAGAAACCAAUUUUCAUUCUUACAGCUCAUGUCCCCAGAAUGGGACUUCUCUAGGAUUCAUAAGCAAGCCUGAUCAAAAUGCAAAGUGAGAAAGAACAGAUAAAAGGUCUUAGAUAACUAAAGCACAAAACCAGCCCCAAAGACUCAUGCCAGAGAUAAAGCAGCAAGAGUUUUAACUGCUUCCCUUUAUACCUGGGUAUUAUUUAUACAGCUUCAGUAGUGUUGCUGUUUUGUGGUUUUCCUGUGACUUCACAAAGUCAGUGGGCAUCAGAGCUAUUGAUGUCCCAAAACAGUGGAAACUGACACUGGUUUUCUGAAUUGAUCACUAUAUUCAAAUAGUGAAUCUAUUUUCCCUACUUAUCCUAAAAUGCUUCCCGACUGCAAACUUGAAUGAGGACUUGGCCUCAUGUUUCACAUGCAAGAGUUCUGUGCGGUGAACCAAGCAAUCCUCUGAAAGCAUUUAUGCUCUCUAGCAGUGUGGUGAGCAUUUUAUUCUUUUAAACAAAUAUCAGGAAAGGGUCCUUCUCCAAAUUGAUCUAUAGUUUACCCAGAGAAAUAGAUAUUGAAUAAAGUCAAUAUCCAUUUUUUAUUUCUAUAGAGAUGGUAUCCUUUAAAACCAGAUCUCUAGUCCUUAUUUGCCAUCAAACCAACUGUAUUAUUUUCCUUACCUACAGUGUGACUAUAUUGCAUGGCAUUUAUAGUCUGGCUAGAAAAUCAUGUAGCUUUCUGAUUAUGUGUAGUUUUGUAUUAACCUUCAUUACAUUAUUUUACAAACCCCUGAACUAGCUUAUGAUUUUCCCCAUUUAUAGAGGAGUAAACUGAGACACAGAAAUGUGAAGUAACUCUCCUAAAGGUGCCCAUUUAAUAAAUGCAGAAGGCAAGCAAUGAACAGAUUCUGCUGGCUUAGCCAGAAGACUUUCUAAAGUCUUUUCUAGCUCUAACAGUCCAUGAUUCAAAGCUACAUUAAUUGCAAUUUUUCUUUAAUUUACUUUAACCACUGGCUAGCCUGGUGGGGGGCUUAAUAAAACAUAACACUCACAACUUAUUUCUCAAUCUCCUCCAACCGCUUCUAUUCACAAAAGAACAUGACCACGGAACAAAGCUAGAGGACCCAAUGAACUCCCAGUGUCCACUUGGUUACUCCUCAUGUCUCAGAAGAGUAGAGGACUGAACCAGAAAGUGGGAUAAUUGCUCUAUUACUUAAAAACAAUUUCAAGGAAGUAUCUCUAACUUGAAGGAAAGAUGAGUCAAUAAGUGAAAUUUCCUGAAAAAGAUACCUCGGAAUAGAGUUCUUUGAAUUUUGAAAAGGAAUUAGAAUUACCUGUGGAGUUACUAGAAAUGCAUAUUGAUGGGCACCACUACAGAGAUUCUGAUCCAAUAUAUGAGGCUCAUGUGUCUGAAUUUUUAUCAAGUUCUCUAGAUCUGAUGUAAUUAAUGUUAAAAAGGAACUGUCCUAGAGACUCCCUGGAGUCCAUUUGAGCUGCUAUGACAAAAUACCAUAAACCCGUUAACUGAUAAGCAACAGAAAUUUAUUCAUCACAGUCCUUGACACUGGGAGUCUGUAGAUCAGGAUGCCAGUGUGGUUGGGUGAGGGCUCUCAUCUGUUUUCACACUUUUCCUUUGUAUCCUCACAGAACCAAAAAGGCUAAGAAUCUCUCUUGUGUGUGUGCUCAAUUGCAUCCAAUUCUUUGCAACUCCAUGGACUAUAGCCCACCAGACUCCUCUGUUCAUGGAAUUUUCCAGGCAAGAAUACUGGAGCAGGUUGCCAUUUCCUAGUCCAGGGGAUCUUCCCAACCCAGGGAUCGAAUGUGCAUCUCUUGUGUCUCCUGCAUUGGUAGGCAGAUUCUUUAUUACUAAUGCUACCCUUUAGGUUCUCUUUUAUAAGACACUAAUCCCACUCAUAAGGAUCCAGUCUCCAGUCUCAUAGCUUAAGCUCCUCCCAAAGACUCUAAUUCCUACUACAAUCACCACUAGGGGCUUGGGAUUUCAACAUCUGCAUUUUGUGGUGCCAUAAACACUGAGACCAUAGCAGGCAGUGCACCCAGUUGUUCUUAAAAUAGUUCCACGUUUAUUUGAGGUCUUCCCAUAGAUGUUUACAUUCUUAAAUCAAACUUCAAGGUUGAUAUAUUCAUCUUCUUUUUUGACAUCUCUACCUGGCUAUCUCUUAAGUCAUCUCAUAUUUAGCCUCACAAAAUUCUUGAUUUUAUUCUCCCCUGAAUAUUUUUCUCCACAUCUUCCUCAACCCAAUAAAUAGAAUUACUAACAAUGUGGUGAUUAAAAUAAAAAUCAGUAACUCAUCCUUGCCUCCUCCUGUCCUGCCCAUACUUUGACCUUCUUACCCUCCAUCUCUUCCUCCAACUCCUAAUCUACUUCUAAUAUAGAUCUUUCAUUUGUUUACUUUUCUCUAUUGCCACUAUCAUCAUCUUAGUCUAAGCCACCCUAUAUGUCACCUGGACUUCUGAAGUAGGGUUCUCAGUGGUCUUUCUGAUUCCAGUCUAUCCCCUCCAAUUGGCCUUCUAUAUAGCAGCUAGUGAUUUUUCAAAUGCUAAUCAUACCACAACACUUAUGGUCCAUACAAGUGUUCCACUUGAAUCACUCUAAUGGUCUCUCAUUGCAAAUAGAAUUCACACUCCUUAGUAUGGCCUGCCAAGCCACGAAGGGUCAGUCCCCACCCAGCUCCAGAUAUACCAGCUUUCCAACAGAAGGCAGGCUUUGCUCUUCCCUCUGCAUAGGUUGCUCUGCUCAUGAUGCCAUCUGUAAGGUUUUCCCUCUAAAUCAGUCCUUCUGAUCCUUUAGAUUUCAGUUGAAUUGUCACCAACUCAGAGAGGUGGUCCCUGACUUCUAUGGACCCUUUCUACCUUGUGAUCUCUUCCACAAGCUACUGUAUUUUCCUCAUAGCAUUUAUCACUAUCUAAAAUUAUUUGUUUAUUGCAGAUAGAAUGUAACCUCCAUGGAGUCAGAAACCUCACAUGUCUUGCUUUCUUUUGUGCCUCAGUGCCUAGCACCCUACCUGGCACUUAGAAAAGACCUGAUAAAUAUUUGUCUCAUUUAAGUCCAGAGUUAACAAGUUGUUUGGAUAUUUCCUUCUUUAAAAAAUAUGUAAAACUGAGAUUAUGUGGAGAAAGGUAUAAUUAAUGUAGAAGGUAGAAUUCUAGAAAAACAAAAGAGUAGGUUUUGUGAAGUAUAUCUCCUUUGUCCCUUAAAAUCCCACACAAUAGAAUCUUUCAAACUAGGAUAAUCCAUCCACAUUAGUCCCAUCCAAGCUGAUUAUGUCUAAUCCACAUGAAUUUCUUAACUUCUGGCUCUCUUUUCUUAAGGCAGAAGGCAACUGAUCUGAUUCAUAACCCAGCCCACCGUGCUCAUGGUGGCCUCCUCAGCAUGGAUAUAGAGGGUUCACUGAACAUAAUGAAAGCCCACAGAGCAUCCUGUUGUGGAAAUGUGAUUGCACUUCGAAUGAUCAGAUGAAUGAAACAUGGAUGGAUUCCUCCAAAGGCUGCAUGGAGUGCAAGAGCAUUUUCCAGUAGGUGCAUCUAGAACUCUGCAAGACAUCUAUCAAGACCUAGGGCUCUGCUUACAGAGGGAUCCAUACCAGUUCCUGUAACCUCUCAUGGAGCAACAUGAAGAUUUUUUGCCGCCCUCCCUAACUGAAAGAGACUGAACGCAUCUAAUAAAGUGUUGACAUUUCUGCAGAUUACAUGGUAUGAAGGGCAAAUCAGAUUCCUUUUAUCAAAAACAAUAUAACAUCCUCAUUAUAUUCUUUGACUUUGUUGGAUUCCUAUCUGUAUUGUAUAGAUCAACAUGAUGGGUAAAUUGAGAUCUUCACUUACACGAAGCAAAUAUCUUCCCCUCUUUUUUCCCCUAAAUUUAGGAUGACUUUGAAUCCUUUGCAUUGGCCCAUUGCACACAUUAAAAUUUCCCUCAGUCCCUGCUUCUUUGCAGGAGCCCUUGAACAAUGGCCUUACUUCUUCAUCCAACUUGCUUUUGAAGAUGUGAUUUGAGUUUUCUGACUGAACGCCUUUGGUCCUGUUCUUUUUAGGUUAAAAUGAAAAUAGCUAAUUAGCAGCUCUCUUCUUCAGGAUCUUAGGGUUUUCCACACAGGUUAUAGAUAGGAUUCAGAAUUAUUAUUAUUUUUUAGGUAAUUAUCCAAGUUGAUUAGAGAAGACUUAAAAAAUUUUAAAAAUAUCUCCUUAUUUAUUACCAGUGAGUGUUCAGAUGCCAUCUGGACUGUUGGGAGAGAGAUGAAAGUGAUUCGGUGCUAUGAUUAGGUCCCAUGAUUGGCCACCAGCACUGAUAAUCACAUCAUUAAUAACACAUGGACAGAGGAAAUUACCUGCAGCAAGAGGAGAGACUGCACGGCGAGAAUGUUUUUCACCCUGACCUUUAGAACACAACUUCUCAAGCAGAGAGUGAGGAAAGGUGGAGGCACAGAGAAGACCUCAGUAACAUGCCACAGGGUGUUAAAGGAUCCCUAGCUCCCAGGGUGGUUCCUCAGGGGCCCAACAAAUACAUCACACCUGACCAUCAGGCAGAGAAUAGAAAGAGCUACCAUCUGCUCUGAGUUCACUAGAUCUGAGGGUUUGUGUAAUGUACAGCAUCAAUUUGUUCUUUAAUCUCUCAACAACCGUAUCAGGGAUUGCCACUGCCUCCAUUUCAUAUAUGACAAUCUGAAUCCAAUAGACAUUAAGCAACUUAAUGAAGUUCACACAGGUGGUAAAUGGCAGACUAGAAGUGUGAAUCCAUAUCUACUUUAUGUCAAACCCUGUUCUUAUCUAUUAGAUAUGAACUGUAAGAUGCUUUUGGUAGAUGCAACCAUAAGAAGAGCAGAUAAUACGUUUCAUGAUGUUUUGGUCCAAGUAUAUGCCCUUCACUGGGGACACUACAAGCUUUCUGAAGGAGCCCCAGAUGAGAAAGGACAUAAUAAUGCAUCUAAAAAGCCUGGUAUUUCUAGUACAACUUCCCGUAUAAAUGUCAUCAGUAUAUCUCCCAGAGAUAGUAUGAGUUGCCCAAAUAACACAUCUAUAAGAAUGCUAAAUUCAAACCACUAAAUGGAUGUGAAGUCAGAGGAAUGCAGUCAGGGGACUGUCAGUAGGUGAAUGAAAUGGAGAUUCAGAAAUGUCUAUGUAGGCAAAUGUGAUGGUCAGAAAAUUCUGUCACAUGGAUGAUGAUUCAUUUCCCAAGAGGAGUUUGAUGUGAGAAUCCAUUCAGCUCCUCUUCUUGACUGAGAUCUUUCCAGGCUGAAGGAUCCUCUUAUUGUGUCUGAUGCCUGAUGCCCAACUUAUAAUCACGAAGACCAAGAUAAGCAACGGGUCUCCUUACUACUAGUCUAGUGCUCUGUCCACAUCUCUGGGAACAAAAUCCCCAUUUCAGUCAUUAUCAUGAUUUCACAGAAAAAUCUAGAAUUAGCUUAGUUAGUAAGACAGAGUUAAAUUCUUCUUCUUAGAAUACAACUAGGACACAAUUUUUCUUUUGAAAUAUAACUGGCAAAGUAGUUUCCUGACUUCACAAGAGUCAAAAAGGAUUGAAGAAUCAUUACCCAACUUUGAUCCUCCCACAACUCUUCUCAGAAGAAAACUCAAGAAAAUCCCCCUUCCCUCCUCAUUUCCUAUUAGGCAGGCAGACGUUAUUAGCUGAAAUAGGUAACUCCUUCAUAACUGCACCCUGCCAUUUCUCCUGCCACAUUUCUAUAGCCAACUCUACAUUCAGAUCUAUUUUGGCAGAUGUGAGUUCUGUAUUUCUCUUGCCCCUGGCUACCUUUGAAUUACCACAGCUCCGUAGCACUGCAGGUCUAUCACCUCAAGGUUUGACAAAUAAUACUGUAUAACUACUGCUGAUAUCAACUUUAAAUGGAAAUUAGAUUCUUUCCCUAUUUUUUAUGUUCCACUUUAAUUUGGGCAAACUACAGUUCUAGACAUCAUGUUCACUGCAAUCAUCUAUCUUUUAGGGAGCAAUAGUGGUCCUGCUUGCUUAAGUACCUUGCAUUUUUCAUGUCAGUCUUUCUUUCUUUUUUUUAGUAGCAUACCUGUGCCACGGGGAAGGGCAUAAUGUGCUCUCAUGAAUCUGACCGCUCAUUCAAGCAAUAGGAAAUGGGAGAGUCAUUUACCCUACUGAUAAAAUGUGCUGCAGUGGUCUAGGGGACUUUAUCUCCUGGAUUCUAUUACCAGAGUAAUAUGCAUCUUCAGGAGAAAUGCCCUGGAGCCUGGAUAGAUCUCUGGAAGACUGAACUUUAAACCUUAUAGUAUCUUUAAAAAUGUAAGGGGGUGGCAGUAUCUAUGGGAACACCAAAAAAGUAACUAGAAAACCACCAGUAAACUCUUUGAAAUAAAGCACUCAAAUAAGCUGUUUGAAUAAACCAAAUUCUCAAGCUCAUCAGAAUAGUAGAUGUAACAGGUUUAUCUUUACUUGACAAAACACUUUGUUCCCUUAUUGAGGGAACAGAGGUCAUUUGGGUCAACCUACUUCUUGCAGAACUUAUAGACAAAAAGAAUUCUGAUGAGUUUAGUGGUCAUUCUCAGAUUGUCUCUACCAGCUAUAUCUUGCCCUUCUUUUCUCUGCCGUUUGUCCCAGGAAGGCUGGCCUAUUUGCAUUGUAUGACCCAGGCUCUUGCCCUCUGAGCUCUGGUUUAUUUGGACCGAUGGGGGACACUAAUAGGAGAUUGGAGAGUCAGAGGAGAGAGAGGGUGGAGCAUUUAUUCCUUGCUUGUCUGCCUUCUGCUUUGUUGCAAUGCUGGCAGUGACUACGCUUCCCUGCAGCCUUGCAUCUACCAGCCAGCCACUUCUCUCCAUGGCACCAACUCUUCUGGGUCUAGUAACCCCUUCUCCCCUACUUCUCCUUCAAACCUAGAGGUGAUAAUGGAUUCCCAAUAUUGGCAUUCUCCGGCUAUCUUAUAUCUCUAAUUGCUUACUUCAGUCCUGUCUAUACUUGCAUAAUUGUCCAAUCAUGAAAUUAUUUUUAAUUAAAACUUUUUGCAUCUAUUUCCUGAAAUGAUUCAGCUUGAGUUUUCUUGAGAAAAACCUUCUCUUUCUCAACAAGUUGGCUCUUAUCUUGGCGUGAUUACUUAAAAAGCUAAAAAUGCUUUUUGCUAAUGGUAUCUUAAAUAUAUUUUGAGCAAAUAAAAGCACACACAAAUUAUAUAAUAGUCAUGAGGUGAAUAAUCACAAAUGAUUCCAUUUAUACUCACCCUUUAUCUACCUAAACUCUUUAAAUAUUUGAGUUUUCUAACCUGCUACUUUGCUUCUCUGGCUUUGAAAAGUUUCAGGAAAGAUUCAGGUGAGGCAUUUAAAAAGUUGAAUUUCCCUUUAGGAAGCUUGUGCUAUAGGUCAGUUGGUUAUUCAAAGGAGCUCUUCCCUUGGUGCCUGGCAAACAUGAUGCAACUAUCCUCUGCCAGCCUCCCUUCUCAGAAACUCUUUCUAAGUCCUAGGCAAUUAGACAACUAGAGGCUGAUUCUGGACUUCCCAGGUGGUUCAAUGGUAAAGAAUCUGCCUGCCAAUGCAGGAGACUGGGAUUAGAUCCCUGGGUCAGGAAUAUCCCCUGGAGAAGGGAAUGGCAAACCAUUCCAGUGUUCUUGCCUGGAGAAUCCUAUUGACAACGGAGCAUGCUGGGCUACAAUCCAUAGGGUUGCAAAAGAGGCAGACGCAACUGAGCACAGCACACUGUUUCUAAAGCUCACUCACUCUUCAGGUUUAAAAAUAAAAUAAAAUUAAAAAAAAAAAAACAACCUAAGAUUAAAAAAAAAAAAGAGCAGACUCUAUACAUUAAAAUACACUCCUUUAAAAUUUUUUUCCUGGGUUAGUGACAAGUUUUCAACCCAUUAAAACAGAGUAGGGUCGGGGCAGAGGGGAGACCUUAAACUGUAAUGAGUGUGCCUUUAGAAAACUGACUCAGAAGAAGCAGAAUUACUUUGCUGACAAAGGUCCAUAUAGUCAAAGCUAUGGUUUUUCCAGAAGUCACAUAUGGAUGUGAGAGUUGGAGUAUAAAGUAAGCUGAGUGCCGAAGAACUGAUGCUUUUGAACUG